CAGCCGCCGCGGGAAUACGUAGGGUGCAAGCGUUAAUCGGAAUUACUGGGCGUAAAGCGUGCGCAGGCGGCUAUGCAAGACAGAUGUGAAAUCCCCGGGCUCAACCUGGGAACUGCAUUUGAGACUGUAUGGCUAGAGUGUGUCAGAGGGGGGUAGAAUUCCACGUGUAGCAGUGAAAUGCGUAGAUAUGUGGAGGAAUACCGAUGGCGAAGGCAGCCCCCUGGGAUAACACUGACGCUCAUGCACGAAAGCGUGGGGAGCAAACAGGAUUAGAUACCCCAGUAGUCCCUGUCUCUUAUAC
rnacentral:rRNA from 1 species